rnacentral:rRNA from 1 species
CCUACGGGGGGCGGCAGUGGGGAAUAUUGCACAAUGGGGGAAACCCUGAUGCAGCAACGCCGCGUGAAGGAAGACGGUUUUCGGAUUGUAAACUUCUAUCAAUAGGGAAGAAAGAAAUGACGGUACCGAAAUAAGAAGCCUCGGCUAACUACGUGCCAGCAGCCGCGGUAAUACGUAGGGGGCAAGCGUUAUCCGGAAUUACUGGGUGUAAAGGGAGAGUAGGCGGCACGGUAAGCGAUAUGUGAAAGCCUUAUGCUUAACUUAAGGAUGGGAUAAAGAACUAUCUAGCUAGCGUACAGGAGAGGAAAGCGGAAUUCCUGGUGUAGCGGUGAAAUGCGUAGAUAUUAGGAAGAACACCAGUGGCGAAGGCGGCUUUCUGGACUGAAACUGACGCUGAGGCUCGAAAGCGUGGGGAGCGAACAGGAUUAGAUACCCCAGUAGUC